CUCCUCCAGCUCAUAGAUAGUGUCGAAGUCCGCCAUAUUGGGCAGUAGUACGCUCAUCUCACACCCCCCCGCGCGGCCUCGCCGCGCGCCUGCGCACUGCGCACCGGGGGCGGAGCCCCGCGCGGCCGCGGCGGCGGGAGGCCGGCGCGCAUGCGCAAUGCAGCCUGUGAGAGGCUUGAGGGGAACGCGGCCCGUCGAGGCGGCGAGUUGGAGGAGAAGGCGUAGCGCUGUUUUCUCGUCCUGCGGCCGCUGGAGUGCUCGCUGAGGGGACGUGGGUAUCUCCUGCUGCUGCCGCCGUCUCCCGGGAGGCGGGCGGGGUUGAGGCCGGUUCCGCCGACGGGAGGCAGCUGCCGCCGCCGUGCCUCAGGAUACAAAAUGAGUCUGACAUGAUUUUUCUUCUAUCAAAUAUGAACUUGGGCCAAGAUUCACACUUACAGAAUGCUUUCGAAACGUUUAUGUGUACUGUGACAAGUGGCCGUACCUGCUCCUCAGCUCUCCUCCCUCCCAGUGCCUACCCACCUGCUGCAUGGCUGGAGGGAUGCUUGCCUUGCGGCACAGGCUCGGCAUGGCAUCCUCUUGCAGAGGCUCCCUGCAACUAGGACUCCUGGCACACAGCAGUUCCGUUGCCCUUGGGAACCUGUGCUAUCCUGCAGACCUGAUUCCUAAAGCCUGAGAAACAGCUCUCGAACCAUCUGUAUUCUUUACAAAUGAAACUGUUAAGCAUCCUGUUACACAGAUGACUUUUGUCUUCAGUCAUACCUGUGAGAAAUCCCGUCAAGACGAUGUACCUGGCCGGCUCCUGUGCAGGACAGCCUAGCGCUCUGCAGAUUUCUCAGAAGAGGUGAUGAAGGCGGUGGGAGAGAAGCAACUUGCAUCACAUGGAGCAACCUCACUCUUAAAAGGAGAAUGCUGGAGAGGAUUUGUAUCACAAGGUGACCUUGAGGAACAGCAAGUGUUGUGGAGAAAAAAAGAAGGUUUCCGGAUUAGCUCACUUGACCUGCGAAGGUUUGGAGGAAAAGCAGUUGCGGGUAUCCGGGCGCAGCCUCCCGCAAGCCCAGAGUGGGGCCGGCAGAUGGCUUAACUACAUGCAAAAAGAGACAGAUUAUGGGUCACGUAGAUCCAAAGCAGUGGCUGAAGGGGUGCUGAGUGUUCAGGAGCCUUUCCAGGAUGGCCUCACAAAUGUGCUUUGCUGCAGGAGCUCCUGGAUUUCCUGUUGCUGCUGCUGCUGCUGCCUGAGAUGGGGCAAAGAAAUGAACCGAGUUGUCCCCCGCUGCCUCCCAGCAUCGCCCGUCCCUGCAAAGCCGGAGCUGCGUGAGCAUCAGGAGACACCUGCUACCUCAAACUCUGCAGUCUGGCUUCCCAUGUGGUGGUAAAUCAGCGGGGUCAGGAUGCCCAAGGUGCAAGAAGUGGAUGGGAAAACCCAACCGCCUGUUCCCCUUCGCCAGCAGCGUCCUCGGACCAGCGCCGCGCCAGUCCCCCCCCCGAGCGACUUCGGUUACGCGCUACAAGAGAAACAGGAUCAUUUGACCAGGCGAAGCCCAGCACGGCCCCAGCGUCCUCUUCACUGCAAGCAAUAAUGUACGCAAGAGGAAAAAAAAAAAAAAAAGCUAAAAAAAGCUGGGCUUGGGGUGGUGCUGAAGCAGCAGGUGGAUGUGAAGCCGUGAUGUUUGAGGGCUGGGUGAGCCUGCGCCCGACCCUGCUCAGCCUCCGGCCCCGCAGCCGCCUUGGUGCUCGCAGCUUUGCCUCUGUCCUGCCUCUCUCUUUCUCCCCGGGCAGAGCUGCUUGGCUUUCCCAUCUUUUUUUUUUUUUUUUAUUCCCUUGUCUGACUGGUCUCCUAACACGUGCGGGCUGGCGCUGGGGCCAGGCCGUGUGCCAGCGAGCUGGCCAUCACUCACCCAGGCAGGCGCCCGCAGGACAGGUAGGAAAGAGCAGAAAGGCGGCGGCGUUGGGGGAAGCAUCGCUCUUUGGCUGCAGCUGAUUAUAGCGGCUUGGUACGUGCGCCUGUGCGUUCCUCCGCGCGACGACAGGCAUCGCUCCCAGCCGCUGCGGCCUCUCGAUGCCACGGCGCGGUUAACGCCGGUUCUCCGGGCCGUGACCGGAUUUUUUGGGCUCUCUAGAAAUACCUGACUCCGCUGCCUUACCUGUGAAACGCCACCGGGUUUCUGGAGGGAGUGCUUUGCCUUUCGGGGCGUAAAGCACCCGGUUCCCUCGCCCUGUGGGCUCUCGCUGCCUCCACGCCACGGGAAAACCCGGGCGGGAAGCCGCCCAUCUCCGCGGGCUCGGCCCUCCGCAGCGGAGCAGCGCGCGGCCGGGCUCCCUCCCCUGCAAAUCCCCCCCCGGCUCUGCUUCCGCGCGCGCUGAGCUGCUGCUUCUGCUGCUCCCAACGCGGCUGUCGUUCGACGCCUGUCUGGAGACCUGGGCUGUCUCCAGCGUUGGGCCGGAGCUGAGCAAAGGCCGCUAACAGAAAGCAUUUUAAAACCAUGUUUCGCAGAAGCCUGGAGCCGAGCUCCACUCAGCGCAACCCCUGCCAGCACUUGCAAGGCGCCGGUUUGUCAGCGUUGACCCUCCAGCUACUCCUUAAGCAUAGCGCUCGGGGCAGGCGGGGGGCACAAAGCAAGGGGGAGGUGGGAUGGUUCCGCAACAAUCCUACUUCUCGGUGCCGCACGAACGCCUUGGUGCCGGCUUUGCUGACAAGCUGGAGCCCCACCCCAGCGACUCGUGCUCAGCCUUUGGGAAAAGAGGGAGACCGCUCUCAGGGAAAUGAUUUAAAAUGCCUUCAGAUGCCUUUUCACUUCUUUUUAUUUAAUUCCAUAAAUAUUUUCAUAAGGCUCAGUGUCUUUACAACACUUUUUUAAACACUUUUUUUUUUGUUUGUUUUAUACACACAACUUUGACACUUGUUUGACAGGGUCAAACAGUCCAAUAUAAACAAAAUAAUAAAACUGGCAAGUGCGGAUCAGCUGGGUUACCAAAAUCCUUUUUUUUUUCUUUUUUUUUUUUUCUUUUUAUUUUUUUGCUCUUACUGUUAAAACCCCAAAAGCACUAAAAUAUCAGUAUUUGGCUUCAAACUAGAAUUUUAAAAACCUUUUUUUUUUUUUUUUUUUUAAAUUCUCUGCUACAAGUCCCUGUCGUCAUAGUGCCUUUAAACUCCUACAGACUCUUCUUUUCUUCUUAAGGAAAAAUAAGCUUGGUGAUGCCAUGCAGAACUUACAAUAGCUACUAAAUAUACAUGUUCCCUGAAAUGUAGCUGCGAUGAAAAGAUGACAGAGCAUAAAGAGAACAAAACCAGAAACCCAAAGCACCACAGUGUACUACCAAUAACAUUGCAAUGGACGGCCGGUGACCGUCCGGAAACUGAAACAGAUUUCAAAUAUAUUUCUCUAUGUAUUAUUUUUCUAUUUACAACUGUUAGAUGCACCUAGGUUGGUUCUUGUUUGAUCUUUUUUGGAGAGGGUGGGGAGGCGGAAGUCUUGAAUUUAGAUCCUCUGUUCUAGUGGCUAGGUCAAGGGGUAAUGCAUGUCACUUGCCUAGGGAAGAGGGUCGGUUUGUUUUUUUAUAUAUAUAUAUAGAGUCAGCCAGAGAAAUACCGUAAACAUGUAAGUUUGUUACAACUCUCUUGCUUCUGCAUAUGGAAUGGUUAAGUGGGUUCCUCCUGUCUGGCAUUGAAAUGAAAGUCUGUAUCGGAUGCUCGGUCAAAAAUCACCCCGAUCUGAUCGCGCCCGCGCUGCUCCCAGCGCGUUCGGCCACACGAGGCAGCCCAACCCCGCUCCCUACUGGGAAAGCCACGGUAGGGAGUAAAGUGGGGCCCAGUGCUGGUUCUUCGCUGUGCCAAUGCUCCAUCUCUUGCAGCACCUUGGCCAUUUAGGGAGGGGAAGAGCUUUCUUGAGUGCCAUGCCUGAGAGCCAAGCCCCUCUUCCCUCGGGAACAAACGCCUGCAUCUGCUUUGCCGGCCGCCUGGCUUCGGCAAGCGCUAGCAACGCCAGCUCCGUUUGGCUUUCCAUUUAAGAAAGAAGCUGCGAGUCCAACAAGUGGCCUUGUCAGAUCAAGCGAGUCUUGAUUUAUGAUGCAAAUAAUGGUGUGGCGGUGGUGUUUCUUUUUUCCUAGUGCUGAAUAUUUAGGAAGCAUCUUCUCAUAAAAAUUAUGGAUGUCUCAUUCUCACUCUCUGAGGCACAAAACAGUAAAUGAACAGGCUUAACUAAUGUGCUUGUUACUUUUUUUCCCUAAGCAAUUAAAAAGGCAAAGGAAUAAGUGAGAUUUUCAUCAUGUUGACAACAGUUUGUAAUCUCUCUCUCUUUCUCUCUCUCUCUCUCUCUGCAUCUCUCCAGCCAUUCAGAAACAGUAAAACAUUUCAGUUAACGUCCGAGAGCCCAUCUCAUUCACGUCUUUAAAUACCCACUCUGUUAAAGAAACAAAAUAAUAUUUGCUACAUAUUCAAUAUUAAAAUCUGACCAUAAAAAUGCAAAGAUACAAAAGAGCAUAAAAAUAAGUUCUGAUAUAAAAUUGGGCUGCCUCCUAUUUGGGAUUCCCGGUGUUUCGCUGCUGCCUGUCACAGAGGGGCCACUCUUCCUCUCCAAAACGCUCAUCUGGUUAGCGAUAGUUUCUAGGUUAUUAAAAAGUGCUGAGAUUAUUUGUGUACUUAAAUUAAAAAAUACAGCCGCUGCCUUGUAAUACGCCCUGAAAUAAAACAGGCUCCACGGAAACACUGAAACCACACUCUCUGCUCCUCCCAUUCGCUUGAAUGUCUUAGGGGAGAGAAAAAAGAAAAGGAUCUCCACGCGCGUUGGCCGGGGGUGCGUAUGUGGUGUAUCAGAUUCAAAAGAAAACGAUAAAUACCGCGAUCAAUCGCUUCGCCCCCCCAUUUUCAAAGGAGCUUGCAGAAUAGCUCUGCAACGUUUUUAAGUUCAUCUUCCAAAUCUGGUUAAACAGUCUCAUUUGCCCUAGGAAAAAAGUCAUCCUAGCGCACAAUGAUUUGUUUUACAAGCUCAAGCGUACGCUUUCGCGCUUGCGAACAAGCGUACUUAAGGCUGAAAUUGUAGGAAUUGUCUUUGAGAACAGAGCUAUGAAUCUCCAGAGGGAGAAAAAGAGAGAGAAAGAGACCUGGAGAGUUCAGCCAAUCACUCCAGAGCCCACUGGCGCCGAUACACCUGUGCGGAGCCACUGGUGCCGCUCACAUUAACCCCAUCACUGAUUCGGGCUAGGUCACGCAAUCGCCGUCAGGCGGCUAAACUUCUCAGGUCACAUCCGUAUCUUUCCUGCAAGGCAAUUCUCAACUCCUCUGCAGCUCGGGGUGCGUUAAAUAGCAGGUAAAUACUUCCAAUUACUGAGGCAAUGAUCCUUCCGCUAACGGGCCACUACCGGCAGCUCAUGUUUUGCCUGGGAGGUCAGUGCCCGCGCGAGGCCGGGGAUCUUACACGCGACAGGGCAGCGCAGGCAGCGAGAGCAGUCCUGGUCCUCGCUUUUGGGAUCAUUGCUCCUGUAAACGGCAAUUAGUGGUUCAUUAACGCAGGCCCCUGCGGGCCUGAGCGGGGCCGACAGGAUGGGACCUUAGUUCCUGAAGAAAGAAAACUGGCCAUUUGUUGGCACCUAAUAGCCAAUUUUCCUCUAGCUGGAAUGGAGGGCGUGAAGCCAUCAGUUUUUUAAGCUUUUAUCUUUGCACGGAACGCAAAGAUAGGAGUGGGCUUUUCAGAGUCGUGUCUCAGCUUAAAAAGAAAAGAAAACAGAGAUAACCCCGCAGAAAUAAAACCAAAUGCAAAAGAAAUAAAAGCCCCUGAUAUUCUUUUCUCAGUCUUAUUCCAAGUGUGAAAAAAUCACACUGAAUCGAGAAAAAGACAGUGCUUCAAAAAAAAAAAAAAAAAAAGGCAAAAAAAAUUAACUGAGGAAAUCCCAGCUCUCGCUUCCUAAACCGCUGAUCCCCCUUCUGCUUGUUCGCACCUGCCCACAGCAGAACAGUGAAAGCCAGAGAAAUACUGCGCAGCAGAGCGUGGUGCACAAGGGAGCACAUCCAGACAGGCACGCGUCAGACCAGGGAACGCGGGACGGGGACGGGGAAAGGGUCGAUGCUCUUCACGGAAAUGGUGACUCCGGGGACAGCCAAGGGGGGACGGAGAGGGAGGGAGAGGGAGCAGAGAGCUCCCGGCACUCCAAAACACAAACAAACCCCCCCCAUAAAUAAGAUCAAAUAAAAUAUACACCAAUGGAGUCCAUGAGGAACUUCGAUGACAAAUUCACACAAGCGAGAAAGCGUUCUGGGAUGCCAGUGACGACUUGAAUGAAAAUGAAGAAGAAAAGUAAAUAUAAAAUAAAAUUAAAAAAAAAAAAGUCCGACCAAUGGAAUAAAAUAAAAUAGGUCACAUGGUUAGAAAUCAUUGGUGCUUCCUAGUAUCUAGUAGCAGAUCGCUUCCCAAAAACAACAAAAAAAAGUUUUUGGUCCUUCUAUAUAUAUACAUAUGUAUAUAUAUUAUUAUUUUUAAAAUGCGCGUGUGUGUAUAUAUAUAUGUAUAUAUAUUUAGUUGCAACAGUGCUUCUCCGAAAAAAGGUCCAUCUAUAAAUAUAAUUUUAUUUAUUUUUAUUUUUAAAUUUUAGUUCUUUUAAGUUAAAAUUCUCCAUCUCUCUAGGUAUUAUUUUUUGAAUGGUGUUAACCUGCUGAAGUUUUGCCAGAAAGGUGCCUGGCUGCGUCUGGGUUCGGUGAACUCGAAGACCUGGGACUGGGAUAUGCCAUCUGUCACCAUGUAUUGUCCCUGAUUUAAUGGAUCCUGGGGUGGUGGGUAGGCUGGAGGAACCGACUUGGAGUAGCUCACACCUGCAUCGAUGAUUGGGGGGAAAAAGAAACAGAUCAGUCAAAGUGCAAUUGGGUCAAUAGUCUUUCUUCGUCAUGCUCUCGCUUCUUAUCGCUUAAUAACCAGGGUCCCAAACAACAGGGAGGCGUGCUAGAGACGGCAAAUCUACAGAGGAACGCAGCAGCUGCCUAAACUCCGAGCUCAGAGGCUGCCUACGCUAGACCACGCGCUCAAGAUUUGGAAAAGAUCCAUUACUUUUGUAUUGGCAGAGUUUCGCCUGCCCUCAUGGAAAAGUCCUGCGUGAGCUAUCGAGGCCCGAACCCGGCCCGGCCGCGUGCGGCAUCGGUCUGGUCAGACGAAGGCAGACAAGCGCAUCGCUCGACCCGCUCGCAAAUUUAACACUUGCUGUUUCCCCGCUCGUUUUUCUCCCUCCCUCCCAGCUACGCCUGGAAAGCGGUUUUGCCCCAGCGCGCCCCGGUGACCAGCCCCGAGCAGCGCGACCCCGAGGACCGCUCGGCGCCAGCUCCUGGGAAGCUUGUAGGACUUUUCCAUAGGCAAAUACCAUCAAAUCACGCAGCUCCCUGUCCACUGUAGGGAGUAACCAAGAGCUUUGCUUACGGUGGACGAAAAAAAUGCUCUGUGAUUCAUUAACCUUUAACAAAUUCAUCCCAGUUAAUAUUUCAAACUUCUUUGAAAAGAACAAACCGGAGAUGUUCCGCAUUUGUGUCUGCAUGCUGCAAUAGAGUUACUCAUCAACAAGUGUUCUGCUCUGUCCUUCCCAAGUUCCUCUCUCCCACAGGACGCCUGCAGGGCAGAGCGCAGCCCCAGAGCCCUGGCUGGCCUGGGGUCAAGCCUGGGACAAGGUCAGCUCUAAGAUACCGGGGACACUUCUCUACCAUCCUUGUUGGCAGGCCCCAACCGCCAGGGUGAAUUUACCACACUACGUGACUUCAGCCGAUGGUGCCCCACACGGGCAGAGCACGGGCUCGGGCUCAGCUCUGCCCUACCUCUCCCACCCCUUCUUCUGACACUGAGCUGCCCUUUGGAAGGCAGGCCAACGCGCGGGCACUGUAACCGACCGCAGAGUCUGCUCGGGAGGGCGAACUCUAGCCCUGAACCCGGGCAAGGGUGUGGACAUUCUCCUGGAGGCCACCAGCCUUCAGUGCCUUGGCCACUUUUCCCAGGAGAGACUGGUGAGGGAUUUCAGGACCUGUGGUAAGGUUAGGACCUGGUACAAGUCCCUUACGUGGCUAGAGUUGGGAAAUACACCUUCCUCUGUCUGGUAAGUGGUUUGGAUCUUCGAUUGACUCAAAGGACCAGGAAUUACUUCAGUUCAACCAAUUACUUCAAAGGCAAGUAGGCCCUGUGCCACCAAGAUCACUAACUAAUGUUCUGCAACACAAAAGAGCCGUGAAUCUAAAGCCGCUACUAAGGGACAUGGAGCAAUUGUUUCUAGUUUUGGAAGACCUUGAAGCCACAUCGCUUUAAUGACAUGGCCCAGUGUCUUUUGCAUCCUGUGGCUGCAGAUCAGCGGUCAGCCUCGUGAGGCGGCCAGUCUGCCAUGCUGAGCUGGGCUGAGCCCUCUACUGUCUCUACACCAAUUUGUGGAGGCUGAACUAAUGUAGUUUAAGCACGAUAUAGAAAUGCUAAGAAAUCUGCUGGAUCAGCAAAACGUUAUGCACUUGGAAGGCUGGAGAAGUAGAGAAAGGACAGUCUGGCUGAAGUCCACUGACAUUCAUGGGGUUACGCUGCGAAGAACGUAAUCCACUGUCUGUCUUCUCCAAAAGAGGAAAAGGCAGACUCCCCUGGCCGGAUCACUAGUAAACCCCAGUCAGUUCUUUCCCAAAGUAGCCUUUUUGGUCCAAACUCCUGAAAAAUGUCUAUCCCUGCCUGAAACAUACCCACGCACACAGUGCCGCUGUCCUCAGCGAGGAAGCUCAGACCCAUAUUCUCAAAGUUGUUUGCGGGGCCCUGCUCGGAGAUCUAGGCUGUUGGCAUGAACAUCUAAUCUGGAUGGACGUCAAAAGCUCCUGGCUGGUUCUACUUGAACAAGCAGCCGAAGGUUUGCAUCUUUAUCGUAUUUAUCAAACAGCCUCCAUGGCCUGACCGGUCGAGACCGCGGCUCUCGAUGGCAUGCAUAAUUACCGUGUGUUUGUGGGCAUGCAAAUAAAAACAUUUGUGCUCUGGCAAGUCGGGCUGAUAAUUCCAUCAGAAUACAUUGUCUGGUGAGACUGUGACACAGCACUUUGCAAUAGCUUGAGGUGCCCCGAGAAUGGCUCUUUUUUUUUCCAGACAUACCCCCAUGUGCUUGACAAGGUGGAACGCGGGCACUGGGGAGGGGGGAGGAGGGAGAUUCACCUCAUCUGCACAUCCUCAAACCCUGAGAAAGAGAAAUUCUGGGGAAAAGUAUGACAGGUCGGUAUUUUUCUCCUCUGUCCUGAAGAAGUGGUUUGCUCCCUCAUCAGAUCCCGGGGCUGUUGUGCAAAAUUGUCUCUUGAGGGAUUUCUUUUUCUAUGCAAAGCCAUAACUCCACUGCAAUUCAACAGAAAGAAAUGAGCAAAGCCCUUUUCCAAUACAAUCUCGGGCUGCUCAGCGAAGAAUUCAAAGCGCAAAGGGAAAGAAUCGAUGCGUAAGUAAUGAUUUCUAGACUCAGCUGCUGCGCUGCCUUUCCAAGGUGUAAGAAAGCAGCUCUACACCAAUGACCAGACUUGGAGCUCCUUCUGCUGGUUCAUGCAUAAUUCUGCACCGCAGCAGAACAUAAAGGCUGCAGCUGCACAGCAAGAUCGUUCGGCAGGGUGGGGGUUGUGGAAAUCUGCUCAGAAUGAGAAAAAGAAAACUCCAGGGUUUAUAAUUUGGCUAGACAAAACUGGUAAAGAGGGAUGCUGUGCUGUCAGUUGAAAUCAUGUCUUUUUUUAGCACUAGGCAACGUCACUUGGACUCUUUCAGAUUUCUCAGCUCAGAAGAAAACAAUUAAAAAGAUUUAAAAGUGUCUCUUUUUUCCCUUCUAGUUCUUUUUUUUAAAGUGUCUCUUCUAUUUGAGGUUACAACACGACUUCAGUAGCACUCGAGGAUUUAGGAGCAUGCUAUUAACUCACAGGCAAUCCACAUGAACACGUGCAGACAGACCCAGUUAUAAUAUAGCAGGACAGCUACAUUAAGACCGCACCUUUCCAGCGUUAAUACAAAACAUACACAGAAUAUUCAGAUUUGCCUAUAUAUAACCAUGGAAACUUGCCUUACAAGCCAUUUAUUUCAUCCUCAACCUUUAAGAUCUUAGCUUAUACUUUGAUCAGGAGCUAUUUCAUAGGCUUUUCUUCUACCUAGCUGUCUAGAUAUCACACUGUUUAUUAGCCAGAGUUGAGUGGGAGACAAUAAAAUAUCAUCCCCUGCUUUCUCCACUGGCUGAGUGGAGGCUGCUGGUAGGAAAGGAAGCAGUGCUGCGCUAAGGAACCUCUCAUCUCCCCCUGACCUCAACAGCAGCCGAGACAACUUGCAUCCUUCAGGAGCCAUGCUCAAAAAUAACCCAUAAAUUCCAUAUCCUCCUCAAUAUUGUAACCCAUACACAACGUGGGGCAGCCAGGAACACACCUCGAGAACACUGAUUGUUGUACAGUUAAUUGCUCCUGCAAUAUCGACAAGUUUAAAGAAAUAAGCAGCAGUCAUGGCUGAAUGGGCACAGCCCUUUGCCUUUCUUCAGCACGUUUCAACAGAGGAUCUCAAAGCACUUCACCGCUAUUCACUUGGUGGCUGUCACGUUUAGCGUUAGCAAACUACGCCGUGCUUGAUAUUCGUCGUGCUCCCUGUCUGCACGCCUCGUUUUUACAGCAAGAGGCGUGGAUGGCGGCUGCGAACAGGAACCCUCUGCCUCCGAAGGCAGUCCUGAGCAGCCGGGACUUCUUCAGUUUACACUUCCGUGCUAAACUACCCGACCCAAAUUUUGUCAUACUCGCCCAGCGCAGGAGGAAUUUAAGUGGUGCGUUAGCCACGGCUCUUCACACAGCUGGGGAUUUCACUGACCGACCUGGCGGAGGUAGAUACUACCAGGGACGGUACCAGUGAGGAGAACAAGCCUUAGCUCCCUUUCCUAACCACUAGCCUAACUGCAGCUUCAGAAACGCAGCAGAGGGAACCAGUAAGCGUGUGUCCUGGCUGUUCCACAGCCCGCCACAGUAUCUACAAACACUGAGGUAACUUGACCUUCCCGAGUCUAUUUAUCAAGUCUGUUACUGCAACCUGAUGUCACCAGACUAGACAUUAAGAUAAUGAUUCCUCAUGUGAUAAGCAAAAGCUAAGCGAGGCAAGAUGGAAUAAAUGAUACUAGGGCUUUAUCAAUCACAGUCAGGUGGAAACUAAUUUAUCCCAUCUUGUACUUCUAGAGCCUCCCUCUCCUCCAGCAUUCUGUACUCUGAUAGCAAAGAUCAGUCCGUCCGUUUCAUUAACUGGAAGAGAUCAGCUCACCCAUCACUGCCCUGAAAUGCAGCCUCUUCUGGGUAGCAAUGCUGCCCCUCACCUAAAAUACCUCACCAAACUGGAAGCGCAGGAGAAUCUGGGCUGACAGACUUAUUACAGCUGGAAUCUCAACAUCUUGGCUCUUCAAACGAGGGCCAGUGGAAAACCCAAGAGGCCCAUUUCACAUCUCAACCAAAAACUCCCCUGGAGAGCUUGCUCAGAAGCACAUGCCCAUUGCUGAGUCACCCGUACGAUCCUCAGAGGUCUCCCAGCCAAGCAUUUAUUCGUGAUUUUCCUUAGCUUGUACAUCUGCCCGGAUCUCAGAUGAACCCCCUGACUCCAGCUGGGUCAACAAACCUUGAGUGAGAAGCCAUCUACCUAUACCAUCAUCAACGAGUCCAGCACCCGUGGACCCACAGCUGUAAUUUCUCUGAAUCUGUUGGGAAAUACCCCCGAGAACAUGACUAGCGCCGUUCUUUCACCUACACUGUGGGAAGCUCUGUAAAAAAAAGGGAAGUGACCCUGAUUAUCUGAAAAUGCAAAUGUCCCUCUGUUUUAAAGGGGUUAGUCUGGGUGUCACUCAAUUACGCUGAACCCCCCCGAGGCUAUGCCUGCAUGUGUGAAUAGGACUGGGGGAACGUGUCGGGGCCACAUCAAUCUAGUUAGCAGUGAAGAUGCAAUCAAAUAGGUUUAAACACUCUGGAGGACCACAGGAGGUACCUACAGGCUCUGCUACCUGGUAAGACCUGCCCCAGCCAGCUGGAGGAAGCCAGCACAAGCGUGCCAACAGGCAGACACCUCCUUCUGCUCUGCAGACUUGCUGGGGGAGAGCUCGAAGUGCUGAAGUGCGAGAAGUCAGAGAAAAGCUGUUGGGUGUUUGGGUCAGGGAUUUUUUAUGUCAUAGUUCGCCGUGAGCUCAAGUGAUCAGAAAGGAAGAAAUUAGCAGGAAAAUUCAGUGACUCAGAGGGUGUUUUACUGCAGGCCAAAGCAGUUCAUGCUGGCUGAUGAUUUAACCCCUGCCGGCUUUGCAUAGCUGAGUGUUAUGGGCAGAUUUAAUGACAGCAUCCUUCGAAGCUCGGGGCCAGGGGUGAUGGUGAUUGAAUAUAUGUCUCCCUCUUUCCUCAAGUCCCAGACCACCGGGCUAAAGACUUGCCUGGGCUCAGGGUAUCUGCUUUGGUGGAGCUGUGGCACAGUGCAGAGGAGAAUACACAGGACAGAGCGAUGGCCAUGAAGGAGCUGGCUCAUAGCAUGGGUCUGAAGCGCUCUCCUGGGGUGGGAAACGCUCCCACCUAGUACUAAGGUCACUUUAAAUUUGAACGGACAUUACUUUUUCCAAAAUGGAAACAUUAGUGGGAAAUGGUGCUUUAAGAAUGGGAUCUCCUUCCCGGGCACUGGACCCUCUAAUCCCCCUGACAUCCCUGGCUGACAGCUUUAGGACCAUGAGCAAAAGUCCCUCAGGUGUACGUGCUGUCCUGCGUGGGGACAGGUGUGGACAAAGCUGGGGAGCAGAAGAGUAACGGAAUGCUUCUGAAAGCUGCAAACAUUAAUCCUUGGAGGGGGGAUUAAAAGUGGCCAGUGGAACAGACACCCCUGACGGGCAGAGGCACUAAAGGAGCCUUCUGCUGUCAGACACUUGCAAAUUAAAAAAGUACCCUGGCUAAUCCUGCGUCUAUGCUAAGGAUGGACUGGAGAUCCACAAAGGAUCCAUUUUCAGCGGAGCUUUAGACUCGCUUCCACUGCUUUAGUCAAUAAUGAGCACAAGCUUGGAAGCGCAGCUCGAUGCUGUCUCAACGCUGCCGAGUCAGUGCAGGCAGCAAAGGCCCUCACUGGUACCUGGACUUAUCUGCAGAAAAGCCGCACGCUUGAUAAGCUGCAGCUUAAAAAAGGUGGUGGGGUUUUUUGUUGUUUUUGUAAGUCAAGACAAAUAAAGUUCUCUGUUACUUUACUAUUUCUAGGAGACACCACACUGAAUUCUAUUCCCAGUUACCACACUGACAUUGAAAGAGGCUGAAGGGCAGUAACCAAGAGGCAAAAUCUUGAACGAUCAAUGCAAAAAGAAAAAAAACAACAAACAGCCCUUUUCUCUAUCUGUUGGUAAGGUGCA